CUAGGUAAUAACCCGCGCCUUGCGCGGGAUGUGAUUAUUAGUUUCGUUAUUUUUAAUAAAAAAGGCAAUAAAUCUAUUUAAUCUGGAUAUUAGUUAGGUUUUACGUUUUUUUGUUUUUAAUCUUCUAAAAUAUAACUAUUAUUUUAAAUUAAUAUUCAUUUUAGUUUAUUCGGUUAAAACAUUUGAUUUUUAGGUUUUUUCGGAUAAAAACCUAAAAUUAAUAUUAUAUGUUUAUUUUUA
rnacentral:lncRNA from 1 species